rnacentral:rRNA from 1 species
AAUUUUGGACAAUGGGGGAAACCCUGAUCCAGCAAUGCCGCGUGCAGGAUGAAGGCCUUCGGGUUGUAAACUGCUUUUGUACGGAACGAAAAGUCUUGGGCUAAUACCCUGGGAUCAUGACGGUACCGUAAGAAUAAGCACCGGCUAACUACGUGCCAGCAGCCGCGGGAAUACGGAGGGUGCAAGCGUUAAUCGGAAUCACUGGGCGUAAAGGGUGGGCGGGCGGUUUUGUAAAACGGUGGUGAAAUCCCCGGGCUCAACCUGGGACUUGCCAUGGUGACUGCAAGGCUGGAGGGCGGCAGAGGGGAUGGAAUUCCGCGUGUAGCAGUGAAAUGCGUAGAUAUGCGGAGGAACACCGAUGGCGAAGGCAAUCCCCUGGGCCUGCACUGACGCUCAUGCACGAAAGCGUGGGGAGCAAACAGG